rnacentral:rRNA from 1 species
UGGGGAAUAUUGGACAAUGGGCGCAAGCCUGAUCCAGCCAUGCCGCGUGAGUGAUGAAGGCCCUAGGGUUGUAAAGCUCUUUCACCGGUGAAGAUAAUGACGGUAACCGGAGAAGAAGCCCCGGCUAACUUCGUGCCAGCAGCCGCGGUAAUACGAAGGGGGCUAGCGUUGUUCGGAUUUACUGGGCGUAAAGCGCACGUAGGCGGACUUUUAAGUCAGGGGUGAAAUCCCGGGGCUCAACCCCGGAACUGCCUUUGAUACUGGAAGUCUUGAGUAUGGUAGAGGUGAGUGGAAUUCCAAGUGUAGAGGUGAAAUUCGUAGAUAUUCGGAGGAACACCAGUGGCGAAGGCGGCUCACUGGACCAAUACUGACGCUGAGGUGCGAAAGCGUGGGGAGCAAACAGG